UGGGGGAUAACGCAUCGAAAGAUGUGCUAAUACCGCAUACACUCUGAGGAGGAAAGUAGGGGAUCGAAAGACCUUAUGCUUUUGNGAGCGNCCGAUGUCUGAUUAGCUAGUUGGUAAGGUAAUGGCUUACCAAGGCAACGAUCAGUAGUUGGUCUGAGAGGACGACCAGCCACACUGGGACUGAGACACGGCCCAGACCCCUACGGGAGGCAGCUGUGGGGAAUUUUGGACAAUGGGCGCAAGCCUGAUCCAGCAAUGCCGCGUGAGUGAAGAAGGCCUUCGGGUUGUAAAGCUCUUUCAGUUGAGAAGAAAAGAUUGUGACUNAAUAAUUGCAAUUCAUGACGGUAUUAACAGAAGAAGCACCGGCUAACUACGUGCCAGCAGCCGCGGUAAUACGUAGGGUGCGAGCGUUAAUCGGAAUUACUGGGCGUAAAGGGUGCGCAGGCGGNUCUGUAAGUCAGAUGUGAAAUCCCCGGGCUUAACCUGGGAACUG
rnacentral:rRNA from 1 species